UACAGAGGGUGCGAGCGUUGUUCGGAAUUACUGGGCGUAAAGCGUGCGUAGACGGUUUUGUAAGUCGGAUGUGAAAUCCCCGGGCUCAACCUGGGAAUUGCAUUCGAGACUGCAAGGCUUGGGUGCGGAAGAGGGAAGCGGAAUUUCCGGUGUAGCGGUGAAAUUCGUAGAUAUUGGGAAGAACACCGACGGCGAAGGCAGCGUCCUGGCCGAGCACUGACGCUCAGGCACGAAAGCGCGGGGAGCGAACAGG
rnacentral:rRNA from 1 species